GAGUAAAGAUUUCGGUCGCUUUGGGAGGAGCUCGCUUACUAUCAGCUUGUUGGUAGGGUAAUGGCCUACCAAGGCUAUGACGGUUAGGGGGUGUGAGAGCAUGACCCCCAGCAUUGGCACUGAAACACUGGCCAAACACCUACGGGUGGCUGCAGUCGAGAAUCUUCCACAAUGGGGGAAACCCUGAUGGAGCGAUGCUGCGUGCGGGAUGAAGGCCUUCGGGUUGUAAACCGCUUUUGUAGGGGACGAAAUUUUUGACGGUACCCUUUCGAAUAAGAGGUUGCUAACUCUGUGCCAGCAGCAGCGGUAAUACAGAGACCUCAAGCGUUAUCCGGAUUUACUGGGCGUAAAGCGUCUGUAGGGGGUUUAUUAAGUUCCAAGUAAAAUUUCAAGGCUCAACUUUGAAUUCGCUUGGAAAACUAAUAAACUGGAGUCUAGCAGGGGUGCAUGGAACUUGUGGUGUAGGAGUGAAAUCCGUUGAUAUCACAAGGAACACCAAAGGCGAAGGCAUUGCACUGGGCUAGCACUGACCCUGAGAGACGAAAGCGUGGGGAGCAAAACGGAUUAGAUACCCGUGUAGUCCACGCCCUAAACGAUGAAUGCUAAAUGUUCGGGGAUUCGACCCCCUGGGUGUUACAGCUAACGCGUUAAGCAUUCCGCCUGGGAAGUACGGCCGCAAGGCUAAAACUCAAAGGAAUAGACGGGGAUCCGCACAAGCGGUGGAGCGUCUGGUUUAAUUCGACAGUAAGCGUGGUACCUCACCAGGGUUUGACAUCCCUUGACAGCCUUGGAAACAAGGUUUCCUUCGGGCAAGGUGACAGGUGCUGCAUGGUCGUCGUCAGUUCGUGCCGUGAGGUGUUCCGUUAAGUCGGGAAACGAACGAAACCCCUAUUGCAUGUUACAAUUUCUCAUGCAAGACUGCCCGGAUAUACUGGGAGGAAGGUGGGGAUGACGUCAGAUCUGCAUGGUCCUUAUACCCUGGGCGACACAGGCGCUACAAUGGCAGAGACAAAGGGUUGCAAAACCGCAAGGUGAAGCUAAUCCCAAAAACUUUGUCUAAGUUCGGAUUGAAGGCUGCAAUUCGCCUUCAUGAAGCUGGAAUCGCUAGUAAUCGUGAAUCAGCCACGUCACGGUGAAUAUGUUCCCGGAUCUUGUACUCACCGCCCGUCACACCAAGAGAGUUGGUAGCUCCCGAAG
rnacentral:rRNA from 1 species